rnacentral:rRNA from 1 species
UACGAAGGGGGCUAGCGUUGCUCGGAAUCACUGGGCGUAAAGCGCACGUAGGCGGCUUUCUAAGUCAGGGGUGAAAUCCUGGAGCUCAACUCCAGAACUGCCUUUGAUACUAGAGAGCUUGAGUCCGGAAGAGGUGAGUGGAACUCCGAGUGUAGAGGUGAAAUUCGUAGAUAUUCGGAAGAACACCAGUGGCGAAGGCGGUUCUCUGGGCAUGACCUGACGCUGAGGAGCGAAAGUGUGGGGGAUCAAACAGG